rnacentral:rRNA from 1 species
CCCUUAGACACUCUAGGCGGCACGCGCGCUACAAUGGGUGGAAGACUGUGUUACUGCCCUCGAAAGAGGGGGUGAAUCACGAAUUCUCACCCGUGAAUGGGAUAGUUUGUUGCAAUUUUCGGACUUGAACUAGGAAUUCCUUGUAAGCAUGCUCAAGAAUAGUGUGCUGAAUACGUCCCUGCCGUUUGUACACACCACCCGUCGUUUCUUCCGACUGAUACGAAUUGUGAGUUGCAAGGACCUUCAGGGGGAAUUGCCGCGAAUGCUUCGCAUUGGAGGAAGAAAAAGUCGUAACA